CACCCCUCGCCCACCCUUUCCCCUUUACCGGAGGAGAGGUGCCUGGACGGACGUGGCCGUCUCGCUUUCCCUUUACCGGGAGAGCGGGUCGGCUGAAGUGCAGGGCCCGCGGCGCGACCCGGACGAGAGGGCGCCAGCAUGGUAGGUGGCUCAACGCUGCAUGCCGCUGUCGCCUUUCAUCGCGGCCCGAAUCAAGGUCGCAUCCAAUCGUCCGCUCGGCCACCAAGCAGGAACGGUCGCUCUGUUCGCAGCAAUGCGGCGGGCGACUUCAACC
rnacentral:misc_RNA from 1 species